rnacentral:rRNA from 1 species
UACGGAGGUGGCAAGCGUUGUUCGGAUUUAUUGGGUGUAAAGGGUAUGUAGGUUUUCUGAUAAGUCGAACGUGAAAUCCCUUGGCUUAACCAAGGAAGUGCAUUCGAUACUGUCAGAAUUGAGCAUGGAAGAGGAGAGUGGAAUUCCCGGUGUAAGGGUGAAAUCUGUAGAUAUCGGGAGGAACACCAGUGGCGAAAGCGGCUCUCUGGUCCAAGGCUGACACUGAAAUACGAAAGCUAAGGGAGCAAACAGGAUUAGAUACCCGAGUA